ACAGAAAGUAGUGCUGCAGGUCAAAGAACCGUUUCCAUCCUGGGCCACAGUUCUCCUGGUUUUCCUGCUUCUUCUUGUAGUUGUUUCUGCGAGUCUUUUGUUUCAUUUCCGUCACGCCUUGGUGUCAGAUGUUGGAGGAGCUCCUCUCAGAGAGUCUGCAGGACAGCUUGGUCUGAAAGCUCCUCCUGUGUCCUCGAGGAUCAGAGUGUAAAAUGAGAAGUGAACAAACACCUGCUGAACUUUGACCUCCAGGAGAAAACCUGAUAACGAUCCCCCUGUGAGAACAGCGAGAUCUGCUCUGAGCUGCUCCGUAAACACAAAUCAGACUUUGUACGUUAGAUUGUUUGAACCUCCAGCAUUCAGUGAAGCUACAGAUGGAUGAUUCAAACAGGACAUGGCAUUUCUCUACACCUCUGAAAACCUGCUGCUGUCUGUGUUUGCUGUU